AAAUAAGAAGUGAAUAAUCACAAUCAGUUUCGACCUGAUAAAUUGGUAAUCAAUUACCCUUAUUUU
rnacentral:tRNA from 1 species